rnacentral:rRNA from 1 species
UACGAAGGGGGCUAGCGUUGCUCGGAAUCACUGGGCGUAAAGGGUGCGUAGGCGGGUCUUUAAGUCAGGGGUGAAAUCCUGGAGCUCAACUCCAGAACUGCCUUCGAUACUGGAAAGCUCGAGUCCGGGAGAGGUGAGUGGAACUGCGAGUGUAGAGGUGAAAUUCGUAGAUAUUCGCAAGAACACCAGUGGCGAAGGCGGCUCACUGGCCCGGUACUGACGCUGAGGUGCGGAAAGCAUGGGGAGCGAACGGG